rnacentral:lncRNA from 1 species
CAGAACCUGAGACACCCUUGCCAGACAUCACAACGCCGCCUCCACACCAGACAACAACCACCCCAAGCUCAGGUCCAUCAACACCAGAACCUGAGACACCCUUGCCAGACAUCACAACGCCGCCUCCACACCAGACAACAACCACCCCAAGCUCAGGUCCAUCAACACCAGAACCUGAGACACCCUUGCCAGACAUCACAACGCCGCCUCCACACUCACCAACUGCACCAACACCUACAGCAAUUUCAGGCCAUGCUUCCUGCAGUGCCUCUGGGGAUCCACAUUACAACACUUUUGACCACAGAGUUCAUAAUUUCAUGGGAAACUGUUC